rnacentral:rRNA from 1 species
GACGAACGCUGGCGGCGUGCUUAACACAUGCAAGUCGAACGGAAAGGCCCUGCUUUUGUGGGGUGCUCGAGUGGCGAACGGGUGAGUAACACGUGAGUAACCUGCCCUUGACUUUGGGAUAACUUCAGGAAACUGGGGCUAAUACCGGAUAGGAGCUCCUGCUGCAUGGUGGGGGUUGGAAAGUUUCGGCGGUUGGGGAUGGACUCGCGGCUUAUCAGCUUGUUGGUGGGGUAGUGGCUUACCAAGGCUUUGACGGGUAGCCGGCCUGAGAGGGUGACCGGCCACAUUGGGACUGAGAUACGGCCCAGACUCCUACGGGAGGCAGCAGUGGGGAAUAUUGCACAAUGGGCGGAAGCCUUAUGCAGCAACGCCGCGUGCUGGAUGACGGCCUUCGGGUUGUAAACCGCUUUCGCCUGUGACGAAGCGUGAGUGACGGUAAUGGGUAAAGAAGCACCGGCUAACUACGUG